rnacentral:misc_RNA from 1 species
UCUCCGUUGGUGAACCAGCGGAGGGAUCAUUACCGAGCUUACAACUCCCAAACCCCUGUGAACAUACCAUUUGUUGCCUCGGCGGUGCCUGCUUCGGCAGCCCGCCAGAGGACCCAAACCCUUGAUUUUAUACAGUAUCUUCUGAGUAAAUGAUUAAAUAAAUCAAAACUUUCAACAACGGAUCUCUUGGUUCUG